GGUAACAUGACCCUCUACAGCCCUCCACCCACCAGGUAACAUGACCCUCUACAGCCCUCCACCCACCAGGUAAUAUGGUCCUCUAUAGCCCUCCACCCACCAGGUAAUAUGACCCUCUAUAGCCCUCCACCCACCAGCCCUCCACCCACCAGGUAAUAUGACCCUCUAUAGCCCUCCACCCACCAGGUAAUAUGACCCUCUAUAGCCCUCCACCCACCAGGUAAUAUGACCCUCUAUAGCCCUCCACCCACCAGGUAAUAUGACCCUCUAUAGCCCUCCACCCACCAGGUAAUAUGACCCUCUAUAGCCCUCCACCCACCAGGUAAUAUGACCCUCUACAGCCCUCCACCCACUAAUCUGCAGGUCUGUGAUGUGAAAUAAUUUCAAAUACUUUAGCUGGGCUUGAUUGAGUUUGCGUCGCAUUUCACGAUGGAACCAAUAGAAUAUGUUGACACCACAGGCAGAUUAAAGCAAACGCUCAAAAUAUGUGACCGUUUGUACCCGGUCUGGUGACGAGCUCCCUGGGGUGUUGAGAAACGGAGCAGAAUACAUGUUUCUAUUGUUUGCUGUAGCAAAUAGACUAAUACAGUUGUAUUGUUGUUGUUGU